ensembl:lncRNA
AUGUGUACAAAAUAAAGCAUGCUAGUUUGCAAGGAUGUUUUGUUUUUUUAUGUUUCUAGAGCUGUUCCCCUGCAGUGAUGAAGAAUCAUCCGCAGAGAUCAGACGUAUGUGUUGUAAUGAGUCAGAGGAAGAAGAGAAAGAGAAGUUCAUCCCUACAUCCAAAAGUGAGACAGAGAAAUAUAAAGUGAGACGAACACUUAGCUUUCUCAGAAGCCGGAUGGUGAACACCAAAAUAAAAAACAAGGUAAAUGCAGAGGUUUCCUCAGCUUUGCAUCAGCUCUGCUCACCACAGCCGCGUGUUGAAGCAGCUUGUAAUGUCUGUGAGGGUGCUGACGGUGAUGAACCACAGCCGUGCACAUGUAAGUGUGUGUUUCUUGUACAGACUUAUAUUUUUACAUACAUUAAAAUGUGAAAUAAAUGUAAAUAUACUGGCUUUAUGAUGUCA